rnacentral:tRNA from 1 species
CUGGGAGUGGAACUCAGUGGUAGAGUGUGUGCUUAGCAUGCACAAAGUCCUGGGUUCAAUCCCAAGCACCAAAC